UAAAGGAUUGGCGCGUGAGAGAGGAGAGGAGACGAACCAGACAUGAAUAGAGCUACUAAAACCCACAUGACCUCUCCCAUGUUUUUCCCUGGCAUGGGUAUGGCCCCUUUUUUCAAGGUGACUGUGUUUGAGCAGGAGCACUUCCAGGGCAAGUGCCAGGAGUUUACCUCUGAGUGCUGUAACAUCCAGAACUGUGGUCUGGACAACAUCCGUUCUAUCAGAGUGGAGAGUGGAGCGUGAGUCUC